AUUGAACGCUGGCGGCAGGCCUAACACAUGCAAGUCGAACGAGUGGCGGACGGGUGAGUAAUGUCUGGGAAACUGCCUGAUGGAGGGGGAUAACUACUGGAAACGGUAGCUAAUACCGCAUACCAUCAGAUGUGCCCAGAUGGGAUUAGCUAGUUGGUGGGGUAAAGGCUCACCAAGGCGACGAUCCCUAGCUGGUCUGAGAGGAUGACCAGCCACACUGGGACUGAGACACGGUCCAGACUCCUACGGGAGGCAGCAGUGGGGAAUAUUGGACAAUGGGGGCAAGCCUGAUGCAGCCAUGCCGCGUGUAUGAAGAAGGCCUUCGGGUUGUAAAGUACUUUCAGCGGGGAGGCGUUACCUGCAGAAUAAGCACCGGCUAACUCCGUGCCAGCAGCCGCGGUAAUAC
rnacentral:rRNA from 1 species